rnacentral:rRNA from 1 species
UGGGGAAUAUUGCACAAUGGGCGCAAGCCUGAUGCAGCCAUGCCGCGUGUAUGAAGAAGGCCUUCGGGUUGUAAAGUACUUUCAGCGGGGAGGAAGGUGUUGAGGUUAAUAACCUCAGCAAUUGACGUUACCCGCAGAAGAAGCACCGGCUAACUCCGUGCCAGCAGCCGCGGUAAUACGGAGGGUGCAAGCGUUAAUCGGAAUUACUGGGCGUAAAGCGCACGCAGGCGGUCUGUCAAGUCGGAUGUGAAAUCCCCGGGCUCAACCUGGGAACUGCAUUCGAAACUGGCAGGCUAGAGUCUUGUAGAGGGGGGUAGAAUUCCAGGUGUAGCGGUGAAAUGCGUAGAGAUCUGGAGGAAUACCGGUGGCGAAGGCGGCCCCCUGGACUAAUACUGACACUGAGGUGCGAAAGCGUGGGGAGCAAACA